GUCGAUAAACUAAAUAGGUUAGGGCUACAUUUCGGCUGUGGUUUAGGAACUAAGCGUUCCUGUCGGUU
rnacentral:tRNA from 1 species